GCCGCCCGGCGGAGGGAGCAGAGGUUGCUCGGCGCGGGGAGAGGCCGCCCGGCGGAGGGAGCAGAGGUUGCUUGGCGCGGGGAGAGGCCGCCCCGCGGAGGGAGCAGAGGUUGACUGGCGUCGGCUCAGUCCCGCUUCCACAACUUCGUGCUCCCACCGUUUCGCUUGGAAACUGGCCGUAGUUUCGUAUUCCGGAGGAAAAAAAAAAAAAAAACCGGUUGCCGUGGAGUCAGUUCCCACUCCUAGGUUACGGAUUAUCUGUCCCCAGUGUGACUCGUUUCAGAUCAGCUUCCGAGCUCAACUCUGCCCCUAGGGUGGGACCCCUCUUCACUCCACAGUGUGGGUGUGUUUGGGUGGGAGUGGUUAAAGAACUGAUGAGGGGAAGGAGUAGCAGCUGAGACGUUUCAAGAACAAUGUGUUUUGUGUUUAUUUGAAUUACAAGUUAAACAUUUUGCCAUCCGGUGAUUCCACCAUGAAGACAAAAACAUUUAUUCAUAAACCAUUGUCAAAGUCAUUUUAAUUUUUGCUUUUCACCCUGUCUUCCUUUCCUGUCCACUCAGCAGAUCACGAUUACAAGGGAAACUAAUCAGGUGUUUACAUUCUUCGCAGACACUAUUGAACUAUGUUUUCUAAUGUUUUGUGGCUUUGACAAUUGUUUAUUAGCGGCAAUAUCUAAACUUACAUAUUCCUUCGCAGUUUCUAACACCCCCGACCACAUUAGCUUAAAGGUAGUGUAUUUUUAUUUGUGUUACCUUCACAAAAGGAACAAUGCAAUAUAAAGAGAGAAGUAAAUUCAAUAAUAUACAGAAACCGAUAUGAAAUUAACCUAUUUGAUAAGGGGUGUGUGUGUGUGUGAGAUACCAGUACUUGAGGACUAGUGUUACCUGGUGUGGCUUGAGCCAAAAGGGUAGAGACGAAAACCUUGGAAGUUAAAGUUGACUUAUUCUUUAUUGACAGUAGGCCCUGAGAAUCCACUUUCUGAUCCGUUCUAGUACUUAGGAGAAUAAAGAUUCAUCAGGAAAUGACUGGCAACUUUUUCUUGCUCUCGUUUAUACUCUCCUUUUUAAAACGACGUGUGUAAUUAGUUUCCAUACUUCACAUUUGACUUUGGAUAUAAGCAAAAAGUUUUUGUCUUUUUGGAGCAAACAACAGCGGCACCCAGGUUCGACCAGCCCGGGAAAGGAAAGGAGCUUCCUGCCCACUCGGAGUCCACAGCGGUUUCGUCAGGGUCAGCAUCACGGGUUAGAUGACUGUCCAGGAGACCAUAAGUAAACCCAGUAACAUGCUUUUUUUUUUCUUUCUCAACAAAUCAGACUCCUCACAACGGUCCUUCUUCCAUGCCUCGAGGCAAAUCACACUCUUACUUUCUCCCUGGUGCUGAUGUGCUUCACUGAACAUCUUGCUCUCCAGUCAAACUUGUCAGCGCUCUAGCACAUCUCUGCUGCCACCACUACAGGAGGCUCGUCUACCGAGGACAGAUUAAGUUGGUGUGGGCCGCCAACAAGCUCAGAGAUGCUCAGUCAACACAGAAAGCCAGAGAGUAGGCGCAAGCGCAGGAGCAAUCUGUUAGGCUUUCAGGUUGCCAGAUAAUUGCCCUCAGAAGACUCCUAGAAGGCUGGCCAGCUAAACUAUGUGGAUCCAGCUUCUGGCUACACGGUGCUCACGCAGCUCGCCCACGUGCGGAGAGGGGAGUGCUGUGGCUCCGCCUGCAGACACGUGAGUGGCGAAGUCCGCCCACGUGCGGAGAGGGGAGUGCUGUGGCUCCGCCUGCAGACACGUGAGUGGCGAAGUCCGCCCACGUGCGGAGAGGGGAGUGCUGUGGCUCCGCCUGCAGACACGUGACUGGCGAAGUCCGCCCACGUGCGGAGAGGGGAGUGAGUGCUGUGGCUCCGCCUGCAGACACGUGAGUGGCGAAGUCCGCCCACGUGCGGAGAGGGGAGUGCUGUGGCUCCGCCUGCAGACACGUGAGUGGCGAAGUCUCGCGUCACAGCAGCGGCUGGCGGUGCCUCUGUAACUUCGUAAAUACCUGUUAUUUGAAAAACCAGUCAAAUAAAAAAGCUAAAUAGACCUGGAAUGCAUUUUUCACAAGCUAGUUUAGCCCAGGACAAUGAAGGCCUUAGGGCCAACAGAGGACUUUUAAAGUUAAUGGAAUAUUGUAACGUUUCACCCUGAGCAUCAGUUCCUGGAAAUACGAUGAUUUGAAAUUCACGGGAGCUCUUUAUUACCAGGAAACUUUUCAUGAGGUUUCACUAGGCAAGCGCAAAGACGGCAGGAAAAAAAUUCCAAAGUGUUGCAGACUAGAUCCCAGAAGGCAUUUUCUUCAUUGUCAGCUGGAUAGAAAUUUGCCAAGCAUUGAGAGAUGGGUGUCCUUUAGAGGAUAAUGAUUUUCUUUGUUUUCUUCUCUAUCUUCCUUUCUCUUUUUUGUAGUCUGCCUUUAAAAUACCUGUGAAACUUGAUUACCCCAAAAUUAAUGCUGCACAUUUCCUAAAAUGUCUAUUUCAAUAUACACAUCUCUGUAUUCAUUAAUAAAGAUGAAUUAGCUAAUCCUUGCCUAUUUUGAUCAAAGAAUUAAUGGGAAAAUAUUCUUACCUAUUACUUUUUUAAGGCACAGUGGUAAGGAAAAUUGUUAUAGGGAUAAAAUUAUAACCAUUCAACAACCUCUCUUUAAAGAGCAGUUUGACUGCUUAGGUGAUUUUAAAACAUAAUUCCUUUUCCUGCUCCUGUGGGUAACACUGACUACCUUUUUGUAAAGGCAUCUGUGAAAAGGCUUUUCAUCAUCACGUUUCUAAGAAUCAAUCAUCAACAAGAAAGCGUAUGUUUGGGGCAAGGAGAAGGUUGUUAUCUCCUUUAACUGACCCACUUCAUGGCUAAGAAAUUGACACUAAAUACAUUUAUUGACUGUAGGCAGUAUUGGAAAAAAAAAUAAGCCUUCAUUUUUGUGUAUGUCCUUACCUGUGCCAUUAGCUGUUUCUAAUCAAAUACAUAAGAGCUUUGCAUAAAUUGAGGAUUUGGGGAUUUUCUAAGGGUGGGUGUUUUGACAGUAAAAUUCUUAAAGUUGGAAGUAUGCAUUUAGGAAGUGGUUCUUGAACCCUAAUGAGGACCAUUUGCCCGAGGUUGCCAUUAUUCUCUUCUUAGUCUGAAGGACUCCAUAGAUCAAAUGAUCUGUAUAACAUUAUAAACAGUCUUUUUUUUCCACCCUGAGCAGUAUUAUACUUUUCCAAGGUGAUCGUUUAAUAGUUCAAUAAUAAUUUGUUUUAUUUCUUCUGCAGUGCCCGUAUGGUCAAGUAAAUGUUAAAGAUCCAUCUAAAAAGAAGCAAUUCAAUUCAUAUUUUUAUGUUUGACAACAGAUUUCAUCUCUGUCCUCCGUAUAAUUGAACCUGUAUUUUUAAAACUUAAAACCCUGAUCCAGAGCUACUCUCCAUGCUGUCAGUACGUAAGCGUCAGUUUGACCUUAAACGCCUAUGUUAAAAGAACAUCAAUAAAAUUAAAAAGCUAGCAAGUGUUGGCGUGUUUCUAAAGUGCCACAUUGAUAGUUAUUUCCCUUUCUUUUUGCCUCAUUAUCAGACACAUAUGUUGAAGAAAAUAACGAUUGUCCCGUUAAAUAAAGAGUAGCAUUCAGGUCACAUUAGUAGCUCCUGAUUUUUCUCAGAGCCUCAGUUCUCCUACGGUUUUCUCACCAGUGUUAUCAAUCCAAGGGACGUUGCUGGCAACUAGAGGAGUUUGAAUACAUUCUUUAUUUUAUUUAUAUCUUGAGCUCUAUAGAGAUUAAUAUAAUCCUAUAUUGUGUAGCAUAUGAGUGCCCAAGUAGUGCCAUCCUGCGCCAAGAAAUAUUCUCAUCUUCCAUCUGUUCUCUCAAUAAAAACUUUAAAUCAUUCUAACAAAAUCACUCAGGCCACUGAAGAUGCCUCAUGUUGACCACUCUUCCUUCUCUCCCCCACCUUUCCCUCCUCCAUUUACUUUGGUACUUCCCAGUCAAAUCUGUCUUGCAGCAUCUUGUUAGUGUCAUCCCCACUCCGUUCACUUCAGUGAUGUCCUGGGCGUCAGUCUCCAAGCCAGGUCAGGAGCUUGUGGGAACUCUUCUUUCCACAACUUCUUGGUUUCCUUCUGAGGACAGCGGUCCCCAGGGGCUGCUGUUCCACCCAGCAAACUUGUCCCUUGACAGUGGAAGCAGUUCAGUAAAACAAGCCUGCUGCCCGCUUGGAAGGCUGCUUUUGCCCAGAGCUGACCCUUAGCCUUUUCCCUCAGCCGAAUCCAGAAGUUCUGAACAUCUCAGGGGUUUGCCCCAGGCUUUGCCCGUGGCCCAAAUAAAGGCUUCAGAGAUCUGAACCAAUGAAAAUGUCCUGUUGCCCAACUUUAAUUCAAAAUAAAAUUCAAGGCUUCAAAAUAAAAGCCUUUCUAAACCCUGAAAUAAGUGAAAGCAAGCCAGUAAGGUUCUAAGUUUCCCCUUGAUUGUGGCUUCUGUUUUUUUUUUUUUUCCUUUGUAAUGUCAAAUUGCUUCCAAAAGGCAUUGGCAUUUUUGGUGCUCCAGCUUUGCUGGUGCUCUAACCAUGGUGCCCUAAGCAAACUGCUGGUGGGCCCUGAGGUGUUAGCAGCCUCCUUGGUUGUAAAAGAGCAGUCUCUCUGGCCUGGUAUUGUCCUACCCAGAAAUUAUCCUGAGGAGAGAGCUAAGAGAGGAGGCUAGCAUUGUGAUCCUGGAGGCGGUGAGCCUUUCCAGAAAGGUGUGAGCACCCCUGGGAGCCAGUUGCCUUUCCAUCUUAGGGACAAGAAUGAACCCAUGAGCUCCAAGUUUUCAACUGUUUGAAGGUUACCAAGGCUAUUUUCUGAGUAGGGGCUGGAUGGUGCUUUGUUUCACAACCCCAGGAGGAAGGAGAGAAAAAAAAGUCGUGGUGGUGGGGGAGCUUUAAAAGACCAUCUUUCAGGAGAAACCAGGGGUGGAGGACAGGAAGCUUACUCUGAAAUUGGGCGCCUGAUGUAAGGCAGUUUCCAGAAAGUCUCUUGGCAAGUGGAAAUAGCUCGUGGGAUGCCUCUCAGGAUUCCUAAAGGCUGCUCUUUCCUCUUCCCAGGGCACUUCUUACUGUAGGAACGGGCCCAGGGAAAAAAGAUCCCGGACAUCCAUCAUGGAGAACCCUUGUGGGGGGGGGGGGCGGUGAUUGUGAUUCUUCCUAGCAGAACUUCAAGCCUUGCUGGCAACAGCCGGUGGGCAAAGGAGCCACAAGGGGCGGGAAGGGCUCUGUCCUUCCUCUUUCCUGCACCUGGAGCCCCGGAGCCGAGGUCUGAAGUUCUCCGCCGCCGUGGUUCUGGACAGAUGCAUGUGAAUCGCAUGUCAGGGGUGGCUGCGGGGCGGGCGCUCCCACAUUAAACACAAUACGGGCAUAUAAAUGGGCCUUGCUGCAAGAGCUUUAAGCUAUAUCGUCUUGGCACAUUGUAAAGUAAAAAUUCGGGUUUCUUACUGGGUGCGUGUAUGCAAACGUAUGUGGAUGCCAAGAAACGGAGACUUUUCAAUUUACAUCAACUCUGGUGCUGCUCGACUUUAAAGAUUCCUGGAGACUCCUUCUCUCCCAAGGCACAAUAAAUCAAAUGAGAGCUUCUAAUGCAGAACCACCCAGCGGCAACUGGGGAAACUUGGUGGGGCAGGUACUUAGGGGGAAGGGAGAACCGAAGCCCGCGGUGUUGGCUCUUCCCACGGCUGGAGAAGGGCCCUGCAGCCCUAGCGGCAGGUGGAUCCUGAUGCACAAGUCCCUCUCUUUACAAGUCGCACCGGCCCCUCUGAUUUGUGAGCAAGGAAGGGCGUUUUUCUUUCUUUUCUCUUUUUUGAGUAAAACUUGGGGUUCCAAACCGGGUGUGUUUGGGAACCGGGAAGAAGAGGCGCUUAGGGGCCGCGCGCCAGUCUUUGUUCCAACGCAGCGCCCCUUUCAGGGCUUUCGCAAAGUCUGUUGCGCACUCACGGUUCUACCGCCAGGAGCCGGCGGGGGCUAGAAUUCUUCUCCAGACGAGGCUGGGGGAGGGGAGAGGAAAGCUCACUACUAGACGAACAGCAGUUGGCUCGUGGCCUCCCUGCCACACAGUCCCUUGCCAGCCCGGAAUUAACUUCCGACUCCAUUCCUUGACAUAACUGCAAUUUCAUCUUCUCCGCAUUGGAGCAAUAACCUUGAGUUUGUGGACUGGAUGUCUGUCUAUGGUGCAGGAUUUAAAACGUGCUGCUUCUGUCUUAACUACUAUAAAACAUUAAAAGGUGUUUCCCUUCCCCCAGGAAAAGAAAGUCAGUGGUCCGUUAUUUAAGUGUGUGUGUGUUGGGAGGGGGGGUUCAGCACCCUUUUGCAAGCCUCUGUGGGGAGCCAGAUAUUUGGGAUAAAGCUAUGGGUUGUUCCUGGGACGCCAAGCCUGCUUUGGCGUGAGGAGCGCCCCUCUGGCUUUGGGACGACUCUAGCCCACGUAAAGGGAUUCGAGGUUGGGCUCGGUGAAGCAAGACCCCUAUACUCGCGUUCCUCUGUCCUGAGACUAUGAGCGUAAAAUAGAGUGUCAACCCAGGAAUCAAGGACUGUAAAGGCCUUAGGAGAUACGUGAUGACCGCAUCCUCUCACCCGAAAUUUUUAUCCUAAAGUGUGAUCUUCAGUGUGCGCUUCAGUGCGCGCGCGCCAGUGUGUGUGUGUGUAAUGCACGAUUCUAUCGAAUACCUAAGAUCAUUCGUGAUUCAAAAGAGGUUUCAAAAACCGCAACUUGGAACAGAGAUAAGUGAGAGGACCCAAGCGUUUUUAAGCCGGUAUCGCCGUCCAUCCAUUCGUUGGCCUCGAGGGCUAGCUUAGAAGCUGAACCCGAACGCUUGUCGGGUCUCGAAAAGAGAAGCAGCCAAGGAGGCCGGGAUGGGAAGGGGAAAGUUAAAAGGUCAGGGUGGCUAAAAGGUAAAUCCGUGAGACUGGUUGGCAAAGGACUCUACCCCAGGGCUCUCUGAACCACAAUCCAGGAUUUGGGUGAAAAGAAGAAGCCUGCAGACUCAGAUCCACAAUUCCUGGUCGAUUCCUGACCACCACUCAAACCUUGUAGCGCAGCUUACUGCGCCCAGAGGAGGAGGCGGCCGCCCUGUCACAGACCCGAGUCCCCCAGCCUAACCCCGUUCAGCUCUCGAAGGCCACUCGGAAGCGC